UACGGAGGAUCCGAGCGUUAUCCGGAUUUAUUGGGUUUAAAGGGUGCGCAGGCGGGAGAUUAAGUCGGCGGUGAAAUUUUGCAGCUCAACUGUAAAAGUGCCUUCGAAACUGGUUUUCUUGAGUGUGGAUGAAGUAGGCGGAAUUUGUGGUGUAGCGGUGAAAUGCAUAGAUAUCACGAGGAACUCCGAUUGCGCAGGCAGCUUACUAAGCCAUAACUGACGCUCAGGCACGAAGGCGUGGGGAUCAAACAGGAUUAGAUACCCUGGUAGUCCACGCAGUAAACGAUGAUUACUCGCUGUUUGCGAUAUACUGCAAGCGGCUUAGCGAAAGCGUUAAGUAAUCCACCUGGGGAGUACGUUCGCAAGAAUGAA
rnacentral:rRNA from 1 species